GACGCGGAAAGGGGACUUGGGGAUGGGGCGCUGGACGCGCUAACGAGACCUACUGGGAGGAUUUGCGUCUCCAGCGGGUCCUGGAGCGACUGGGAGUGCCGGGACAGGAGGCAGGUCUUGGCCUAGUUUGCUUGCUGAAAUAGAGCUCUAUCUCGAGGAAAUCAAUGUGCAGGAACAAAAUGGAAGUCGAGGUUUGGACAGAGUUGUCACUUCCCCAACUUGAGUGGUGCGGGCUGGGGGCGGAGACUCGGGACUGAGGAGAGGCCCCUUCUCCCACCUCAGCUCCUUUCCCUGGACUUCCAGAAGGAAAAUUACCCUCCUCACCCCCCUUUCUCCUCACACCCAUCCCCACUCGCCUGCCGGCCCCUUUCCCCAACCCUUUUCCCCUUUAUGUGAGAGACGCCUAACUCCCGAGCCAGUGGAGUCGGUCCCCUCGCCCCUCCCGCUUCCACGCCGGUCCCCCCUCCAGCCAUCGCUACUGCUACCACCUCGGUUCCACUCAAUCGAUUUUUGCUGCAUGUCAACACUUAUUACCGAAAGUGGCCCGCGGAUGCUGGGACCUGAGGUGCCAGGACUAAGGCUUGAGGUGGCUCCCGUAGAGCUCCAGCCUGCCUCUACCCAUGUUUCCUCGGUCCAGAAGCAACAAAGCCUUUCUGCCUCCGCUGACAGUUUGCAGCAGCGCGGGAUCCCCUCGCACGCAGUCCUAGGCAGGAAUCUUUAUCCUCUUGGUUCUCGGGAGAUGAGACCUAGAACCGUCUCUGCUGUCCCUGAGAAGGCGGUGGCGCAGCAUAUCGAAUGUGACUUGGAACCCAGACUAGUGGCAACGCAGUUCCUGGGCGCUUUCCCCCGCUCUGCUUGCGUCAACAGCCGCCUCAACUCUGCUGCUCCUGGCCAGUGUCUGGGUGGGGUUGCUGCACCCGGUUGAAGCUCGAUGGCAUCUUUCUUCGUCCUCCGGGGUGGACCGGCAGGGCCUUUCCUGGCGUCACUUCACGCGGCCGCCUGCGCCUGGUGGACGGCGAGUCUCCCACGGAGUCACCGCGCUCCGUGCGCGCACGCGCGCGGGGGCGCGGCUGGGCACAGACGCGGGGACCGUGCGGGCCGACCCGAGUGCCAAGGAAGGGGCUUUGCCUGCCAGAGCCCAAGGUUACAGACGACAGGUCACUUUGUUAGAAAAUAAUAGAAUAUCAAACAAAAGAAAGUGAAGUAAAACCCUUCUUGUGCGCACGCUGGGCCUGGGGCGGUGUUACUUCACAGGGCUCUCCUGACCUCAGCGCCUCCGGGCCCUGCUUAAAACCCGUGAAAUCUUAGGAGCCGCUCUUAUCUGAUGAGGCGGGGCCUUGUUGUCUGCUUCUCGACAGAAAAAAAAAAAUCCCUCCUGCGAAGGCUGGGCUGCAGCUCCUGGCGCGAAGCUCCCGCCCAGCCCGGAGCCUCCUCUGCCGGCGCAGCCCGGCCGCCUGUCACCGCCCAGCGCCAGGAGACGGCAGUCUGGACAGCUGAGCAGGACCUUUUGGACUCCUGGAUUCCGGGGGCCACAAGGCCCAGCUCGUAGAAGGACCCGAGGAGCCGCCGCGCCACCUGAACGUGCCCCCAAGAGCGCCUUGGCCUUGGGCCUCCCUGGCCGCCCGAACCAAGGCUCCGG
rnacentral:lncRNA from 1 species